AACGAACGCUGGCGGCAGGCCUAACACAUGCAAGUCGAGCGCCCUAGCAAUAGGGAGCGGCAGACGGGUGAGUAACGCGUGGGAACCUUCCCAGUGGUACGGAACAGCUCAGGGAAACUUGGGGUAAUACCGUAUACGCCCGAAAGGGGAAAGAUUUAUCGCCAUUGGAUGGGCCCGCGUCGGAUUAGCUAGUUGGUGAGGUAACGGCUCACCAAGGCUACGAUCCGUAGCUGGUCUGAGAGGAUGAUCAGCCACACUGGGACUGAGACACGGCCCAGACUCCUACGGGAGGCAGCAGUGGGGAAUAUUGGACAAUGGGCGCAAGCCUGAUCCAGCCAUGCCGCGUGAGUGACGAAGGUCUUCGGAUUGUAAAGCUCUUUUGGCGGGGACGAUAAUGACGGUACCCGCAGAAUAAGCCCCGGCUAACUUCGUGCCAGCAGCCGCGGUAACAC
rnacentral:rRNA from 1 species